rnacentral:lncRNA from 1 species
GGUUUCUGUGGGGCUGAACCGCUUUCCCUGGGCCUGCGCGGGCAGCCGCCUCUGGAUCGCAUUAAGCUGCAUAAAUAACAAGGCUGUUGUCAGAUUCCCCCUGGUGAGGAGAGGGCAGAGGGGGAGCCCUGGGGCUUGACCUCCGUGUUUCUCAGCGGGAGUCAGACUGCCUCCGGCCGUGGAGGGUCUGUGUUGUGCUUGCCCUGGGCCCUGACAGGCAGGUCGAGGCCUCUGUCCUUGGAGUCAGCGCAUCCUUGGAGCCCAGGCCAGUGACCCGCGUAGUAGGGGCUCAAUAAUAAUGGACUAGCUGGUGGAAGGAGACGGAGCAGGCAGCAGUGUGAAGUUCAAAGGCUCGGCUCACACCUGAUUCUCCCAGGGAGGGCUGCCCCCAGGACCGAACCCCCCUGCUUAUAUGAGGGGGGCGACCACCAUGCGCCAUGCUCUGCAGAACUGCAGCCUGGAUGGGGGGCUUCAAAGCACGCCUGCCGAUAGAUCAAGCGUCCUUUCCAACAGGAUAGCCCCCUCCUUGCUCACCUCCCCAAAUAAACCUGCGUAAUGA